UGUCAUUUCAUUGUCGGAGCUGGGAGGGACCUGCUUGUUUUAGAGAAGGGGGUUCACCUGGGACACCCCUGAGCUUUGUCCCAAGCCUCGACAAGCCACUCACUUCCCACUUAGGAGUAGUUUCUCUGCACGCACCAGGCAGUGGGACCAGGGAAGAAAUUGCAUCCGCUAAGUGGUGUCAUCUGCCUGCAAGACCUGCACAGCUCCCAGGCCUGUGGCUUUGGGCACCAGGACGGUGCCGGCCGAAAGGGAAGUGUCAGCUGUUCUUCUGUCUUUAAAAGGCAGUAAAGAAAAAAGCGCAGGGUUAAAGAAAAAAGCGCAGGGUCGGGUUUUGUAACGUCAGAGGAGGUCAAGGACACAGCAUGGAAUCUGACGGGAAACGCAUGUGGGCGAGGAGGUGAUGGGCUUCAAGGCGCGGCUCUCUGGUCGCAAGCCGCCUGUUCUCAGAAUACAGCUGGCUGUGUUGUAAUCGCACGCUGAUCUCACAAUAAAUAACGUGUGCAUGGAACGUGCCUUCA
rnacentral:lncRNA from 1 species